UUACCUGGUUUGUCCUGCCAGUAGUCAUAUGCUUGUCUCAAAGAUUAAGCCAUGCAUGUCUAAGUACAGGCCGAACCAAGGCGAAACCGCGAAUGGCUCAUUAAAGGAGUUAUGGUUCAUUGGAUCUUACCUUGUUUUACUUGGAUAACUGUGGUAAUUCUAGAGCUAAUACGUGACACCCCAGCUCCGACCGCAAGGAAAGAGCGCUUUUAUUAGAUCAAAACCAAUCGGGCUUCGGUCCGUUCUCACUGUGGUGACUCUGAAUAACUUUGAGCUGAGCGCAUGGUCUUCGAACCGGCGCCAUAUCCUUCAAGUGUCUGCCUUAUCAGCUUUCGAUUGUAGGUUAUGCGCCUACAAUGGGUAUAACGGGUGACGGGGAAUCAGGGUUCGAUUCUGGAGGAGGAGCCUGAGAAACGGCUACCACAUCUAAGGAAGGCAGCAGGCACGCAAAUUACCCACUCCCGGCUCGGGGAGGUAGUGACGAAAAAUAACGAUGCGGGACUCUUCCGAGGCCUCGCAAUCGGAAUGAGCACACUUUAAAUCCUUUAACGAGGAUCUAUUGGAGGGCAAGUCUGGUGCCAGCAGCCGCGGUAAUUCCAGCUCCAAUAGCGUAUAUUAAAGUUGCUGCGGUUAAAAAGCUCGUAGUUGGAUCUCAGUUCCGGACCGACGGUUCACCGCCCGGUGCUUACUGUCGGCUUCCGAACAGCCGCACGCCGGCUCGGCCAGGGUGCUCUUCAUCGAGUGUCCUGGUUUCGGCCGGCACGUUUACUUUGAAAAAAUUAGAGUGCUCAGCGCAGGCUGCAACGCCUGAAUAAUCUGUGCAUGGAAUAAUGGAAUAGGACCUCGGUUCUAUUUUGUUGGUUUUCGGAACCAGAGGUAAUGAUUAAUAGGAACUGUCGGGGGCAUUCGUAUUGCCGACGUAGAGGUGAA
rnacentral:rRNA from 1 species